rnacentral:rRNA from 1 species
AUUGAACGCUGGCGGCAUGCUUUACACAUGCAAGUCGAACGGUAACAGGCCGCAAGGUGCUGACGAGUGGCGAACGGGUGAGUAAUGCAUCGGAACGUGCCCAGUCGUGGGGGAUAACGCAGCGAAAGCUGCGCUAAUACCGCAUACGAUCUAUGGAUGAAAGCGGGGGACCGUAAGGACUCGCGCGAUUGGAGCGGCCGAUGUCGGAUUAGGUAGUUGGUGGGGUAAAGGCUCACCAAGCCAACGAUCUGUAGCUGGUCUGAGAGGACGACCAGCCACACUGGGACUGAGACACGGCCCAGACUCCUACGGGAGGCAGCAGUGGGGAAUUUUGGACAAUGGGCGCAAGCCUGAUCCAGCAAUGCCGCGUGCAGGAAGAAGGCCUUCGGGUUGUAAACUGCUUUUGUACGGAACGAAAAGGCUCUGGAUAAUACCUGGGGCUCAUGACGGUACCGUAAGAAUAAGCACCGGCUAACUACGUGCCAGCCGCCGCCGUAAUAC